GACGAACGCUGGCGGCGUGCCUAAUACAUGCAAGUAGGACGCAGUUGCGAACGGGUGAGUAACGCGUAGGUAACUACCUAUUAGAGGGGGAUAACUAUUGGAAACGAUAGCUAAUACCGCAUACUAGUAGAUGGACCUGCGUUGUAUUAGCUAGUAGGUAGGGUAAUGGCCUACCUAGGCAACGAUACAUAGCCGACCCUAGGAGGUGAUCCGGCACACUGGGACUGGGAAACGGGCCAGACUCCUUAGGGAGGGAGGCGGAGGGAAUAUUCGGAAAUGGGGGGAAACCUGACCGAGCAACUCCGCGUGGUUGAAGAAGGUUUUCGGGUCGUAAAGCUAUGUUGUUAAGGGAGCGGUACUUAACCAGAAAGGGACGGCUAACUACGUGCCAGCAGCCGCGGUAAUAC
rnacentral:rRNA from 1 species